rnacentral:rRNA from 1 species
GACGAACGCUGGCGGCGUGCCUAACACAUGCAAGUGGAGCGACGAACCAGGCUUCGGCCUGGGGCAAGGCCGCGAACGGGUGAGUAACACGUGGGUAACCUGCCCUGAUGAUUGGGACAACCCGAGGAAACUCGGGCUAAUACCGAAUGUGCCCUCCGGCCUCAAGGCCGCUGGGGAAAGGAAGCUUCGGCCUCCGCAUCGGGAUGGGCCCGCGGCCCAUUAGCUUGUUGGUGAGGUAACGGCNCACCAAGGCGACGAUGGGUAGCUGGUCUGAGAGGACGAUCAGCCACACUGGGACUGAGACACGGCCCAGACUCCUACGGGAGGCAGCAGUGGGGAAUCUUGCGCAAUGCGCGAAAGCGUGACGCAGCAACGCCGCGUGGGGAAGAAGGCC